UUGACCUCGAAUCAGGUGGGANUACCCGCUGAA
rnacentral:rRNA from 1 species